GCAAGUCGAACGAAAUUUUCCUUUCGGGGAAGAGAAAGUGGCAAACGGGUGCGUAACACGUGAGUAACCUGCCUUUAAGUGGGGGAUAGCCCGUCGAAAGACGGAUUAAUACCGCAUAUGGUCCAAGAACACAUGUUUUUGGUACUAAAGCUUGUAACGGCGCUUAAAGAGGGACUCGCGGCCUAUCAGCUUGUUGGUGAGGUAAUAGCUCACCAAGGCAUAGACGGGUAGCCGGUCUGAGAGGAUGGUC
rnacentral:rRNA from 1 species